GCUUAACACAUGCAAGUCGAACGGAAAGGCCCUUCGGGGUACUCGAGUGGCGAACGGGUGAGUAACACGUGGGUGAUCUGCCUCGUACUCUGGGAUAAGCCUGGGAAACUGGGUCUAAUACCGGAUAGGACCUUCUCUCGCAUGGGAGUUGGUGGAAAGUUUUUCGGUACGAGAUGGGCCCGCGGCCUAUCAGCUUGUUGGUGGGGUAAUGGCCUACCAAGGCGACGACGGGUAGCCGGCCUGAGAGGGCGACCGGCCACACUGGGACUGAGACACGGCCCAGACUCCUACGGGAGGCAGCAGUGGGGAAUAUUGCACAAUGGGCGCAAGCCUGAUGCAGCGACGCCGCGUGAGGGAUGACGGCCUUCGGGUUGUAAACCUCUUUCACCAGGGGCGAAUUAGGACGGUACCUGGAGAAGAAGCACCGGCCAACUACGUGCCAGCAGCCGCGGUAAUACGUAGGGUGCGAGCGUUGUCCGGAAUUACUGGGCGUAAAGAGCUCGUAGGCGGUUUGUCGCGUCGUUCGUGAAAACUUGAUGCUUAACAUCAAGCGUGCGGGCGAUACGGGCAGACUUGAGUACUACAGGGGAGACUGGAAUUC
rnacentral:rRNA from 1 species